AUUAAUUAGACUCUAUAAUUUCAGUUUGAUUGAUUAUUUUAUUACUUUAUGAGAUUUUGAGAUAUUAUAUAAAUUUUCCAUGGUAAUAAUGCAACAAAAGUAUUUUGAUAAAUUCAAUUUUUUUUAAGAUAUCCAAUUGAGUUUUGAAAAUCCGGGCGCAGAAUAUUAAGAUUUAGCAGCUUUGUAGAAUCGUUAGCUCAUGCGAUAUUUUGAGACCUAUUAAGAUUAGAUUGUCUUGUAGGUCCACUUGAGAGAAGGAAUUAGCUUUGCUUUUACAAGAAGAGAAUUGUACAUCUUUUAUCUACAGGCUUGUUCUAUCGAGGUGGGUUUUUAUUUU
rnacentral:lncRNA from 1 species